rnacentral:misc_RNA from 1 species
GAUUCGUACAAUUUGUCAAAAUAUUUACCUUUAUUUGUUUAUCUUUUCCUUUGAGAAUAAGGUAAUUAAUUGAAGUGCUGAGCAAAUAUGGCAGAAUUAAGUCUGGGUGUUCUUAUUGAUAUCGUGGACGAGGAGUGGAUGAGAGACACUUUACCUGAUGACGAUCUCCCUCUACCGCCAGUGCUGGUUGUUCGGACUGAUGAUGCUGAAGAUUCAAAUCAAGAGACUCAACAAGUUAAUGGAGACACUUGGCAUGACCUUGCACUAGGCAAUCAGUGAACCAUUCUGGUUGCGAGGGAACUUGGUAUUAUGCUGUGGAAGCAGUACAAAUCUAUUGGAAGCUUUGUUAUGUUGACAUGUGUUUACGUUGUAUGAAUCUAAAUUUUAGACUUUUAACAUGCAAUUGAGUUGAAGUGGCCUCAAUUUCGGAACUCCCAACUCUCUUUUAUAUUUUAGGCUACUUAAGCUCUGUCGAGCUUGCAGUUGGAUUUUGAAUGUGUGAUAAUAGUAGUAUCCAUUUGAGUGUUUAAAAAUCCAACUGCAAGCUCGACAGAGCUU